AACCGCUAAAAAUCAUGACGGGUCUCACAACUAGAUCCACCAUGAUCAUUGUGACACCUACGAAAGAGGACCAAGUUAGCACCCUAUGCCCGUAACUAGUCGAUGGUACUCCGAAAUCCAGUUAGGUAUGGCCUACAAGACGAUAUACAUAGAGAUAGAAAUUUUAAUGCAUAAUUUCAUACAUUAACCUCUAGAGGUGUGGAUCUUGAUACAAGAGAAAUUUACUUACAACCAAGGCAUCCCAAUCUAGUCGUUCUUAAGCAAGACCAACAAAGUGAAUACAGGCAAUGUUCCUCGUACCUAAAUACGAAGUAACCUAGUUAAAAUUAAUGGGGAAAAAAAAUCCAAUCGGAUGGUCUAUCCAAUAAAGUUCGUUGGUCAAUAUAGCCUAUUUGCACAAAACAAAGCAAGUGGAAAAAAUAAGAUUUAUGUUUCACAAAUACAAAUACACGUAAUUAGAAAU
rnacentral:lncRNA from 1 species